UACGGAGGGUGCGAGCGUUAUUCGGAAUUAUUGGGCGUAAAGCGCGCGCAGGUGGUUCCUUAAGUCUGAUGUGAAAGCCCACGGCUCAACCGUGGAGGGUCAUUGGAAACUGGGGAACUUGAGUGCAGGAGAGGAAAGUGGAAUUCCACGUGUAGCGGUGAAAUGCGUAGAGAUGUGGAGGAACACCAGUGGCGAAGGCGACUUUCUGGUCUGUAACUGACGCUGAGGCGCGAAAGCGUGGGGAGCAAACAGG
rnacentral:rRNA from 1 species